GCUUCAUUUUCCGUGUAUUUUUUUAAUUUUCAUUAUCGGGGAUAGCGUACGCUGUUUCGGCAUUGCAGCCUUCUACAGUGUGUGGGCUCAGUAACCUGGGAGGGGAGGAUCAGUAAGCUGGGAGGCGGGGAUCUUCCUGUCCGGGUUGGCGCCCUCCUCGGGUUCAUGCCGUGGGGGAGAUCUUCGUGGGCUAUACCCGGCCUUGUCUCAGGGUAGUAGAGGACCUGAGCUCUAGGUCCAUGCCUCAGGACUACGUGGCCUGAUGACUCCUUGCUGUCCCCAGUCCACCUGGUCAUCCUGCUGCUCCAGUUUCAACUGUUAUGCCUGCGGCUAUGGAACCCUGACCUGUUCACUGGACGUGCUACCUUGUCCCGGACCUGCUGUUUUGAACUCUCUCUCUACCGCACAACUCUGAAUAAUCGGCUGAUAUUUACUCCUGACAUUUACUCCUGAGGUGCUGUCUUGUUGCACCCUCUUUAACCACUGUGAUUAUUAUUAUUAGUAUUAUCAACGUUUGAACAUCUUGGUCAUGUUCUGUUAUAAUCUCCACCCGGCACAGCCAGAAUAGGACUGGCCACCCCCCCAGAGCCUGGUUCCUCUCGAGGUUUCUUCCUAGGUUUUGGCCUUUCUAGGGAGUUUUUCCUAGCCACCGUGCUUUUACAUCGGCAUUGCUUGCUGUUUGGGGUUUUAGGCUGGUUUUCUGUACAGCACUUUGUGACAUCAGCUGAUUUAAAAAGGGU